rnacentral:tRNA from 1 species
UCCCUGGUGGCUCAGAUGGUAAAGUAUCUGCCUGUAAUGCAGGAGACCUGGGUUCAAUACCUGAACUGGGAA